GCACUGCCAGCAGCAGCUCUCGAGAGCUAGGACGCUGCACAGAAGCUAUACAUUUCCGAAGACAGAGAAGAGGAAAAAGGAGGUAGAGUCUGGUAUGAGGGCACCAGGGAACAUUUCCUUACUUCACAAUUUGGUGAACUGAGUAGAACUGCCUGACAUCACACAGAGGGUAAACUUCUGCCUAGGGCCAUGGAAAAAGGCAAGAAGGUCCCGUGACCAAGAAAUGACCAGCUCCACAGAGGAAAUGCAGGGCCACUCUCCGACUGGACCCCACUGUGCACAAGCCUGCUCAAUGUGAAGAUGACGAGGAUGAAAACCUUUAUGAUGAUCUACUCCUAUUUAUGCUGCCUUGCAAGAAAUGGAAGGGAAGCACAAGGGGAUUGAGUGCCUUGGCUGAAGCCCUUGGUCAGCAAGUGGUGGAGCAAGCAUUGAGACAGCAGCUUCUAACCUAAGCAUGUGCUCAUCUCAGCACUCUGCCCAAAACCUGCUCAGUUCAGCUUCCUAGAGGGGCUCCCUACUCACACACUUUGGA
ensembl:lncRNA novel transcript